UUGCUUUGGCAGCACAUAUACUAAAAUUAGAACAAUACAGAGAAGAUUGGUAUGGCCCCUGCACAAGGAUGACAUGCAAAUUCAUUAAGUGUUCCAUAUUUUA